rnacentral:rRNA from 1 species
AGGGUUCGAUUCUGGCUCAGAACGAACGCUGGCGGCGCGUCUUAAGCAUGCAAGUCGAACGGCAAGAGGUAGCAAUACCUCCUAGAGUGGCGGACUGGUGAGUAACACGUGGGUGACAUACCCUUCAGAUGGGGAUAGCUAUUAGAAAUAGUAGAUAAUACCGAAUACGAGCACAGGGGUUAGAGAUCUGUGAGGAAAGGAGCUAAGGCUCCGCUGAAGGAAUGGCCUGCGGCCCAUUAGCUAGUUGGUGAGGUAAGAGCCCACCAAGGCGAUGAUGGGUAUCCGGCCUUAGAGGGUGAACGGACACAUUGGGACUGAGAUACGGCCCAGACUCCUACGGGAGGCAGCAGCUAAGAAUAUUCCGCAAUGGACGAAAGUCUGACGGAGCGACGCCGCGUGGAUGAAGAAGGCCGGAAGGUUGUAAAAUCCUUUUGAAACUGAAGAAUAAGCGUUGUAGGGAAUGACAGCGUGGUGACAGUAGGUUUUGAAUAAGCAACGGCUAAUUACGUGCCAGCCGCUGC